rnacentral:tRNA from 1 species
GCACAGGUGGUUCAGUAGCAGAAUUCCCACCUUCCAUAUGGGAGACCUAGGUUUGAUUCUCAGCUAGUGUA